rnacentral:tRNA from 1 species
AGAUAUAUAAAGAACUUCUAAUUCUUAAAAAGCUAAAAGCUAUAUCUA